rnacentral:rRNA from 2 species
CCAUAGAUGUUCUGGGCCGCACGCGCGCUACACUGACGGAGCCAGCGAGUACUCCCUUGGCCGGAAGGCCCGGGUAAUCUUGUUAAACUCCGUCGUGCUGGGGAUAGAGCAUUGCAAUUAUUGCUCUUCAACGAGGAAUCCCUAGUAAGCGCAAGUCAUCAGCUUGCGUUGAUUACGUCCCUGCCCUUUGUACACACCGCCCGUCGCUACUACCGAUUGAAUGGCUCAGUGAGGCGUCCGGACUGACCCAGAGAGGUGGGCAACUACCACUCAGGGUCGGAAAGCUCUCCAAACUCGGUCAUUUAGAGGAAGUAAAAGUCGUAACAAGGUCUCCGUAGGUGAACCUGCGGAGA